rnacentral:rRNA from 1 species
AACGAACGCUGGCGGCAUGCCUAACACAUGCAAGUCGAACGAGACCUCCGGGUCUAGUGGCGCACGGGUGCGUAACGCGUGGGAACCUGCACUUAGGUUCGGAAUAACUCCCCGAAAGGGGUGCUAAUACCGGAUAAUGUCUUCGGACAAACGAUGUAGCGCGUUGGGAUGGGCCCGCGUUGGUUUGGCUAGUGGGUAGGGUAAAAGCCUACCAAGGCGACGAUCCAUAGCUGGUCUGAGAGGAUGAUCAGCCACACUGGGGCUGAGACACGGCCCAGACUCCUAGGGGAGGCAGCAGUGGGGAAUAUAGGACAAUGGGCGAAGGCCUGAUGCAGCAAUGCCGCGUAAGUGAUGAAGGCCGUAGGGUUGUAAAGCUCUUUUACACGAAAUGAUAAUGACGGUACCGGGAGAAUAAGCACCGGCUAACUCCGUG